UACGUAGGGGGCUAGCGUUGUCCGGAUUUAUUGGGCGUAAAGAGCGUGUAGGCGGCCAGAUAGGUCUGCUGUGAAAACUCGAGGCUCAACCUCGAGCUGUCGGCGGAAACCAUUUGGCUAGAGUCCGGAAGAGGAAAGUGGAAUUCCUGGUGUAGCGGUGAAAUGCGCAGAUAUCAGGAAGAACACCCGUGGCGAAGGCGGCGCACUGGACCACAACUGACGCUGAGGCGCGAAAGCUAGGGGAGCAAACAGG
rnacentral:rRNA from 1 species